UCUCUAGUGGCUCAGAUGGUAAAGCAUCUGCCUGCAAUGCGGGACACCUGGGUUCGAUCCCUGGCUCAGGAA
rnacentral:tRNA from 1 species